UACGUAGGGUGCAAGCGUUAUCCGGAAUUAUUGGGCGUAAAGAGCUCGUAGGCGGUUUGUCGCGUCUGCUGUGAAAACUCGAGGCUCAACCUCGAGACGUCGGUUGAAACCAUCUGGCUAGAGUCCGGAAGAGGAGAGUGGAAUUCCCGGUGUAGCGGUGAAAGUGCGCAGAUAUCGGGAAGAACACCCGUGGCGAAGGCGGCUCUCUGGGACGGUACUGACGCUGAGACGCGAAAGCGUGGGGAGCAAACAGG
rnacentral:rRNA from 1 species